rnacentral:rRNA from 1 species
UGAGGAAUAUUGGUCAAUGGGCGAGAGCCUGAACCAGCCAAGUAGCGUGCAGGAUGACGGCCCUAUGGGUUGUAAACUGCUUUUAUAUGGGAAUAAAGUGAGGGACGUGUCCCUUAUUGCAUGUACCAUACGAAUAAGGACCGGCUAAUUCCGUGCCAGCAGCCGCGGUAAUACGGAAGGUCCAGGCGUUAUCCGGAUUUAUUGGGUUUAAAGGGAGCGUAGGCUGUUUGUUAAGCGUGUUGUGAAAUGUAGGAGCUCAACUUUUAGAUUGCAGCGCAAACUGGCAGACUUGAGUGCGCACAACGUAGGCGGAAUUCAUGGUGUAGCGGUGAAAUGCUUAGAUAUCAUGACGAACUCCGAUUGCGAAGGCAGCUUACGGGAGCGCAACUGACGCUAAAGCUCGAAGGUGCGGGUAUCGAACAGG